UUCACUUCUCACUCAUUCACUGGAAAUAUGACGGCACAAACUCUCAUCUGCUCUCUAACGCUUUUACUUACAGGUUGUUUUGGUGAGAUUAUUCUCACUCAGAGUCCCACCGUUCAGAUGGUGUCAGUAGGAGAGAGCGUCACUCUCAACUGUAGAUCCAGCAGUUCAGCUUUUUCAUCCAGUUUAGCCUGGUAUCAUCAAAAACCUGGACAAACACCCAAACUCCUUUUCUCUAGUGUUGGUAGCCGAGUGUCUGGAGUGUCUGAGAGAUUUACUGAUGGAAGAUCAAACACAAACUUCAUGCUGAAUAUCAGAAAUGUUCAGACUGAAGAUGCAGGAGAUUAUUACUGUCAACAGCAUUAUGAGUUUCCACUCACAUAG